GACGAACGCUGGCGGCGUGCUUAACACAUGCAAGUCGAACGGAAAGGCCCUGCUUUUGUGGGGUGCUCGAGUGGCGAACGGGUGAGUAACACGUGAGUAACCUGCCCUUGACUUUGGGAUAACUUCAGGAAACUGGGGCUAAUACCGGAUAGGAGCUCCUGCUGCAUGGUGGGGGCUGGAAAGUUUCGGCGGUUGGGGUUGGACGCGCGGCUUAUCAGCUUGUUGGUGGGGUAGUGGCUUACCAAGGCUUUGACGGGUAGCCGGCCUGAGAGGGUGACCGGCCACAUUGGGGCUGAGAUGCGGCCCAGACUCCUACGGGGGGCAGCAGUGGGGAGUAUUGCACAAUGGGCGGAGUCCGGAUGCAGCAACGCCGCGUGCGGGAUGACGGCCGUCGGGUUGUAAACCGCUUUCGCCUGUGACGAAGCGUGAGUGACGGUAAUGGGUAAAGAAGCACCGGCUAACUACGUG
rnacentral:rRNA from 1 species